UACGUAGGGGGCGAGCGUUGUCCGGAUUUAUUGGGCGUAAAGGGUCCGCAGGCGGCCCUGUAAGUCAGGUGUGAAAUUCUAUAGCUUAACUUUAGUAAGCACUUGAAACUGUGUGGCUUGAGUUAAGGAGAGGAAAGUGGAAUUCCUAGUGUAGCGGUGAAAUGCGUAGAUAUGAGGAGGAAUACCAGUGGCGAAGGCGACUUUCUGGACUGAUACUGACGCUGAGGUACGAAAGCGUGGGGAGCAAACAGG
rnacentral:rRNA from 1 species